rnacentral:piRNA from 1 species
GAGUGACUCCCGUUGUCCCAAGGCUUC